AACGAACGCUGGCGGCAGGCUUAACACAUGCAAGUCGAACGCCCCGCAAGGGGAGUGGCAGACGGGUGAGUAACGCGUGGGAAUCUACCGUACCCUACGGAAUAGCUCCGGGAAACUGGAAUUAAUACCGUAUACGCCCUACGGGGGAAAGAUUUAUAGGGGUAUGAUGAGCCCGCGUUGGAUUAGCUAGUUGGUGGGGUAAAGGCCUACCAAGGCGACGAUCCAUAGCUGGUCUGAGAGGAUGAUCAGCCACAUUGGGACUGAGACACGGCCCAAACUCCUACGGGAGGCAGCAGUGGGGAAUAUUGGACAAUGGGCGCAAGCCUGAUCCAGCCAUGCCGCGUGAGUGAUGAAGGUCUUAGGAUUGUAAAGCUCUUUCACCGAUGAAGAUAAUGACGGUAGUCGGAGAAGAAGCCCCGGCUAACUUCGUGCCAGCAGCCGCGGUAA
rnacentral:rRNA from 1 species